CCAAUGCAACAGGUUCUGGAGAAGAAACUGAUAUACGUGUAGAACCAUCAUCAACCUGUCCGAUGCUGUAGUGUAUCCAGCCUCGUUAAUUAGAAUACGUCUUGCAGCAUUCCCAUAUUUCCACUAGAAAAAUUUCGGUGGAAUUGAAAUCUAUAGAGAUACGUGUCGAACCAUCUUCGAACAGUCUACAGAUUUCCAUUCGAAAUGCCAUCAUGAUGAAUUCUUAUUCUUGCUUGUUAUCAUUGCCGAACAUUCGGCGAUUUUGCAUAGACUAACGAGAGAACGUUAGUUUCAUUUCUUCAUCCUGCAGUCUUUUUAGCACACGCACUAGUUCAUUUAGACGAUUACGUGAAACAACAACACUAAAUAAUUUGUUUGUUUUUGAACAUCUUUUUAUUUGGAAAAUUUAUCUUAGCCGAAAAAAUAUUUCGGCAUUUAAUUCCAAAUACUCCUCCCUUCUUUCCCAACGACGAUAGACUUU